rnacentral:rRNA from 1 species
AACGCGAAGAACCUUACCCAGACUUGACAUUGAUGGAAUCCUUUAGAAAUAGAGGAGUACCCUUCGGGGACCUGAAAACAGGUGCUGCAUGGCUGUCGUCAGCUCGUGUCGUGAGAUGUUGGGUUAAGUCCCGCAACGAGCGCAACCCUUGCCGUUAGUUGCCAUCAGGUUAUGCUGGGCACUCUAGCGGGACUGCCGGUGUUAAACCGGAGGAAGGUGGGGAUGACGUCAAGUCCUCAUGGCCUUUAUGUCUGGGGCUACACACGUGCUACAAUGGCAACUACAAACCGACGCGAACUCGUGAGAGGGUGCAAAUCGGAAAAAAGUUGUCUCAGUUCGGAUUGGAGUCUGCAACUCGACUUCAUGAAGCUGGAAUCGCUAGUAAUCGUGGAUCAGCACGCCACGGUGAAUACGUUCCCGGGCCUUGUACACACCGCGAGC